rnacentral:lncRNA from 1 species
UGAAUAUUCUAGCUAAGACUACACUUAUAUUUUCAGGCUUUGGGACUGCAUUAAGGAGACCCUUCUCUAUUAUGUUUGUUAUGUUCAAUAAUUAAAUUUUUAAAGAAGAAAACUAUGAAUUAAGAGCCCACCUAAUGGAGCUCAGAUAAGUGUAACAGCAAAGGCUCUGAUCUGCACAGAUAUGUACAUCUCAGGCACAGCAGAGGCUCUGUGCAAACCUACAUUUUGCUCAAAUUUCUUGUUUCCUUCUUCUCAAUCUGCCAAAAAUAUUUCUAGUAAAAAGUAAUUUUUGCUACUGUGGCUGUCUUGUAACUAACUUUUAUUUGCUGAUAUUCGCUUUUUAGCAAAUGUCACAUACAGGAAUGACUUCAUUAGGAUAGUAUAGUUAGUUUACCAAAUUAUUGCUUUGGAAAACAAGAAUACCAAGGAUAAGAUAUUUAUAUUUGGUCCACUAAUUAGUUAUUAUUAGAUUACUGGUGGAUUACUUUAUUUGUUACACCUAUUUAUUUUAAGGAGGUUUCUGAGAAUCUGUUAAGAGUGUGUCCAUUGUUGCUAGUUUUAGGCAGCUAAUGAUUAGCUUUAUAUAUAAAUGUACAAAUGACAAUGAAAAGAAUUUUCAAUCCACUAUAAAUUAGUUAUUAGACAAUCAAUAAAAAGGUCAUUGUUUUUCAAAUUAAUGAUACAAUUAAAAUUAAUUUAAUGAAUAGCAGAUAAAUGUCCAAUUAAAAAAUAUAUGUCACAUCACAUAUAAUGACCCAAAUCACCACUUGAUCCAAAGUCAAGGACCUUGAACCAAAUGCAUUUAAAAUGUAUUGGUUUAUUCGGACAUAGAUUUCCUUUAUAAGAGAAAAGCAUUCGAAUUCACCCAUUUAAAAAAAAUCAUCUUUCAUUCUUUCUAAAUUGGACAUUAAAUUUGCCAAUGACUGCAUUGUGUUAAAGGUGUGGUCCUUUUGCUUUCUGAUCCAAAUUGGCUUGGAAUUGAUCCAGGAUUUCAAGCUGGGAUUCUUCUGCACAUUUAAAUGUAUGUGACUUGAUUGGAAGUUGUCAAAGACAACUCAUUAAACUGGAAAUCUCACUAUGUCAUUGUUUAAUUGGUCUUUUUUUGUUGUUGUUAUAAGUAUAUUGAAGUGUUGUAAACUACAAGCACAGCAACACACUGAAUAGCCAGUUACUUUUUAAAAAAGUUUUAGAGAGUAGUGAUUGAUACUGAGAGAGAGACACACAGAGAGAGAGAUACAGAGAGAGAGAGAGAGAGAGAGAGGCAGAGAGAGGCAGAGAGAGAGAGUGCUUAACUGAAGUAUCUAUAAUAAUGUACCGUACAGGUUGAAUACAAUACCUGGAAUACAUUACAUUUUUCUAGCAGGAAGUAAAAGUGAAAUAAGCCAGGCACAGAAAGACAAAUACUGCAUGAUAUCACUUACAUGUGGAAUCUAAAAAAGUUGAACUCAUAGAUGCAGAGAGUAGAAUGGUGGUUACCAGGGACUGGAGAGCUGUUGGUCUAAGGUUACAAAAUUUCAGUUAGAUAGGAAGAAAAUGUUGUACAACGUGGUGAUUAUAUUUUCUAUGAUUUGAAAAAUAGAAAUAAAUAUACUUUGAUUUGACUAUAAGUAGAUCUUUAAGAAUCCUGAAGUGGAUUUUGAAGAUAGCCUAUAUUUUUGACAAAAAAAAUAUGGAUAUACUUUUAAAGCAUGAUUUUCAUGAAGCAAAUACUGCAAUAGGCCACAUAGUACAUUGGUUGAUGUUGAUUGGUAACAUUGAAUAAUUGAGAAAUGUUUUUGUUUCCUUAGCGUAUAUGAAUGGAGUGGUAAACAUGAAGUAUUAAAAAGUCACAGUGUUAAAUGAUCUUUGAAUUUGUAUGGUAUCAAGUGUUUGUAAAUAAUUAGAUUGCCUUUCCAGUUACAACAGGAAAAAAAUAACCUUAUUUUUCUUCAAGGGCAAACAAAAUAUAUCUUAAGAAAGAAAGUGUACUACUUGAAAGGGAGAUAUUUUAUGGAAACAUACAGAAGCAUUUGCAGUAAAUAUUUAUCAAUUCCAUUUAAGGGAUACUGGUCAUUUCUUCAGUAAAGGCAAUGAAAAUAAAUCUCUAGAAUAUGUUAACUAAGAAAUAGUGUAUUACAUUCACUUAUCAGGCAGAUGGAGUAUUUUGUUAAAAUCUUAAACUGUAUCCUGAUAUUUUAUUAGUAGCAACAGUAAAUGGGCUGUUUUAUUCAUAGUCUUAUAUUUUAAAGACAUAUUGUUUAUGUAUGAACAAAGUAAAUCACUUAAGGUGUAACAAAUCUUUGAACCCAUCAUAGUUCUGCUAAAAUAUACUGAUGCAUUCAACAGUAUUACUUUCUAUUUUAUGUUUCAAAUUUAGGAUUUUUAUUUAAUUUGAUUAUUCAAAAUGAUAUUAUCUUCUUGAGUUAGGCACUUACACUUAAAUAGUGCCUUUUGAUUUUAAAAGAAUAACCUGGAACACUUUUAUUUUUCAUAAUACCUGUCACACAUUUUAUAUGAGGAUGAAUGUUCUUGUGUGUGCAACAAGUGUAAAAUUUUUAUCAGUAGUUUAGAGAACUCUGUGGUGGAUAUUUUUUAUAUGUAUUAGCAUUAGCUCAUUUGUACUCUAUGCUUUAAAUAAUUGUCGUACAUUUGGUAGAAAAGCCUUUACAUACAUGUAUAUGUGUUGUGUAGGAAUACAUUCACACACACACACGCAAACAUAACAUAUACACCUGUAGGAUGUAGGGCCACAGGACAAAUAACUUAGGAAAAUACAAUUGGCUUUAAUUUUACCUUUUUGUAGCACAUAAAAACAUGAAACAAUACAUCAAUAAACAGGUCCUAUUUUACUGAAAUACAACAGAAAAAAAGAAUUAAUUUUAGAGUUAAAGAAGUAGUUUAUACUUAAAUAUUUUAGAUAUAAUUAUGCAAGGCUAUAUGGUUAUUAGGACAGUGAUUAAAAACAGCUUAAUUUUUCUAAACCUUUUUUAUGAUAAUGUACUUUAAAUUCUCUGUUUAAAAAUAUAUGUAUAAGAAUUAUUUUAUUUGUAUAAAAUAGAUAUUAAACGAUUGGGUAUUAGAAUCUGUACAUUAUUAAAUGACACUACAUGUGC